rnacentral:misc_RNA from 1 species
GUCACAAGCCAACCUUGAUUUCCAUAUAAAGUCAUACCACCAAUUCAAGCCUAGCCACAAAACAAAACUAGUAAGAGUAUGCAACUCAACUUCUUUCAUUUUACUCUCCUCGUCAUAGUUGGCGUUACUGUCGCUGCCACUGCAGGUAGUCCGGCUCCUGACAAGAGAGUAGUCUCUCCUGAAAUGUCUAAGGGCCCUAAUAAUGGCCAAGGCAGCCCCAGUUCUGGAGCUACUGGCUCCGGCCAUGGCCCCAACUGGGAC